GGUUUCAUAGUGUAGCGGCUGGUACGUCUGCUUUAUAUGCAGAAGAUCCUGGGUUCACGCCCCAGUGGAGCCG
rnacentral:tRNA from 1 species